rnacentral:rRNA from 1 species
UGGGGAAUCUUCCGCAAUGGACGAAAGUCUGACGGAGCAACGCCGCGUGAGUGAAGACGGCCUUCGGGUUGUAAAGCUCUGUGAUUCGGGACGAAAGGCCAUAUGUGAAUAAUAUAUGGAAAUGACGGUACCGAAAAAGCAAGCCACGGCUAACUACGUGCCAGCAGCCGCGGUAAUACGUAGGUGGCAAGCGUUGUCCGGAAUUAUUGGGCGUAAAGCGCGCGCAGGCGGUCACUUAAGUCCAUCUUAGAAGUGCGGGGCUUAACCCCGUGAUGGGAUGGAAACUGGGAGACUGGAGUAUCGGAGAGGAAAGUGGAAUUCCUAGUGUAGCGGUGAAAUGCGUAGAUAUUAGGAAGAACACCGGUGGCGAAGGCGACUUUCUGGACGAAAACUGACGCUGAGGCGCGAAAGCGUGGGGAGCGAACAGG